rnacentral:misc_RNA from 1 species
GGGUCGAUGAAGAACGCAGCCAGCUGCGUGAAUUAAUGUGAAUUGCAGGACACAUUGAACAUCGAUAUCUUGAACGCAUAUUGCGGCCUCGGGCAAUCCCGAGGCCACGCCUGUCUCAGGGUCGGUUGAACGUAAAUCGCGAAUGCGCCCUCAGCUCGCGCACUGGGCGUCGCAGCGACUGCUUAUUACUGUGUGGCUUUGGCCGUAGCAGUAACUGCAGUAGCUUCGUCGCCUUAAGUUCAGACGAGUUGCUCGAUCGCUACCACCGUAGCGCGUUCGGGACGAUGGCUCGACGUUUGCUCGCGCACCAUCUCCCUCUUCGCCCGUCGAAGGCGGCGCGCUGCGUGGUGGCUGUAGCACGUUGGAAACUAAUUAAUUUCGUUUUCGACCUGAGAUCAGACGAGAUUACCCGCUGAAUUUAAGCAUAU